rnacentral:rRNA from 1 species
AUUGAACGCUGGCGGCAUGCCUUACACAUGCAAGUCGAACGGCAGCACGGGAGCAAUCCUGGUGGCGAGUGGCGAACGGGUGAGUAAUAUAUCGGAACGUGCCCAGUCGUGGGGAUAACGUAGCGAAAGCUACGCUAAUACCGCAUACGAUCUAUGGAUGAAAGCGGGGGAUCGCAAGACCUCGCGCGAUUGGAGCGGCCGAUAUCAGAUUAGGUAGUUGGUGAGGUAAAGGCUCACCAAGCCGACGAUCUGUAGCUGGUCUGAGAGGACGACCAGCCACACUGGAACUGAGACACGGUCCAGACUCCUACGGGAGGCAGCAGUGGGGAAUAUUGGACAAUGGGCGAAAGCCUGAUCCAGCAAUGCCGCGUGAGUGAUGAAGGCCUUAGGGUUGUAAAGCUCUUUACCCGAGAUGAUAAUGACAGUAUCGGGAGAAUAAGACUCCGGCUAACUCCGUGCCAGCAGCCG